UGGGGGGAAAAAAAUGCCGACGUAACUGUAACAAGCAUACAUUCCCCAGAAAGCACUGCUGUGGCGCUAGCUCCGCCCUCGGAGGACGCUCAUUGGCCGGUUUCUGAUCGGACCGCUUUGAAAAGCUUCAUCAGUGGCUAAAGAGCAACGUCAAUCAAAUCUGGUACCCGGAGAUUACACUAUAUCAGAAAUAAGGCUAAAUGGCACUAACAACUAAACGUCACGAAAAAUUCCACGGUGAUUUCGCACACUGAAUCAUCAUGGGACCACAACCGCAUCACACGUACAAAAAACAUUUAGGGUGUGAUAAUUCAUUUAGAUUAUAAGAUGCUUUAAAUCGCCACCACCCUACUGGAUGCGCAUCUUGUAUUAAUGACAGAACAGCGACCACUGCGGUGCCGCGCUGCGCUUCACUGCAUGCCGCCUGCAUCGAUUUAACGAACCGCUAUGUCUGGAGCUGCACUCCGGUACUCCCAAGCAGAAAUAACGGAUCUGGAGACGGAAAUAACGGCGCUCACGCCACCGCCGCGUCCUGACACGUAACCAUGGUUAACAGAGGAAGAACAAUGAUUUCAAGCACCACCUUCCUCUUAAAGCAUCCAGCCUGCUAUUCUAACUCAAUGGGCAUGACAGAAUGAUCUCCAGCCUUGUCCUCGUCACACACUCUCACCUGUGUUAACAUGAGAAUCACUGAAAUGUCAGCAGGUCCCAUUGUUGUAGGGCUGAAAUGAAGUGGAAAUUGAUUUUUUUAGGAUUCCAUUUUUUUUCCCAUGACAUAGAGGGACACUGCAAUUAAUUGCAAUUCAUCUGAUCAUAACAUUCUGGAGUUUAUGCAAAUCGCCAUCAUAAACAUCAAGCCAGCAGACUGUGAAAAUUAAUAUAUGUGUUAUUCUCAAAUCUUUUGGCCACGGUUGCACUUUUGUGUGGGGAAAACUACUCAUUAAAUCGUAAUAAAACUACAAUAAAAUUCCUUGGUUGCUCAUAUUUUAAUCGUAACUUUUUCCAACUGCCUAAAUGCACAUUUACUGGGCUUUCCUUAAUACUACAUCAUUCUGACAAAUAUAGGUUAAGAACUGAAUGUGAUCCUCUCUAGUUCUGAGUAACUGCAAAGCGCAUUAGUAUUUAGU